rnacentral:rRNA from 1 species
GAUGAACGCUGGCGGCGUGCCUAAUACAUGCAAGUCGAGCGAACGGACGAGAAGCUUGCUUCUCUGAUGUUAGCGGCGGACGGGUGAGUAAAACGUGGAUAACCUACCUAUAAGACUGGGAUAACUUCGGGAAACCGUAGCUAAUACCGGAUAAUAUUUUGAAACGCAUGGUUCAAAAGUGAAAGACGGUCUUGCUGUCACUUAUAGAUGGAUCCGCGCUGCAUUAGCUAGUUGGUAAGGUAACGGCUUACCAAGGCAACGAUGCAUAGCCGACCUGAGAGGGUGAUCGGCCACACUGGAACUGAGACACGGUCCAGACUCCUACGGGAGGCAGCAGUAGGGAAUCUUCCGCAAUGGGCGAAAGCCUGACGGAGCAACGCCGCGUGAGUGAUGAAGGUCUUCGGAUCGUAAAACUCUGUUAUUAGGGAAGAACAUAUGUGUAAGUAACUGUGCACAUCUUGACGGUACCUAAUCAGAAAGCCACGGCUAACUACGUG